AGGCCUGUGAUGAUUCAAAUUUGGAAUUACCGUCUGAAUAGCUUUAUUCUUUGAUGAAAAUUUUGGCUGUUUCUGAGGCUUUAA